ACGCAACAAAACGAUACUUCGUAAUGUAGCCAAAGUCAAGCACCCGCACACAUCUUCACUCCAAAAUGUCUUGAUAGUCUUCAGAUCUUAUUGUACCCUGAACAGAUUCAAGACAUCCUGCGACGGUUACAGCCGAGUAAAACAUAAGCCUCCUCCAUGUUUCACAAUAAGUAACAUUGUUUUAAUUGGUUUUGUUCUGUGACAGCGCCUCAAUGAUUUUAUGUUGGAUUUGAACCAAUCUAAAUGCUUCCCUUGCUUCCUGUUAGUACUAUUCAAAUACUUAAUCACCGUUUUAACGUUAUUUUAUUUAGUAUUGAGGCAUUAGACGGUUUUCGAAGCACAAAUACAGGAUACAAGGAACAAAAGCCAUUCAAAUACCACAAAUAUACAACACCCUCAAAUUGCAGUAAAUCAUUUAAUGUUGGUUGUUGAGGUCGCAUAAAACAUUUUAGGCUAAACAACGCCAUCUGUUGGUUUUAUGCUAGAAGUGCACACAUUGUGUACUAGUUUUACUUUGAGGGGUUUUCAGUUGUUAUCUGCUAUCCUUCGUACAUGUUUGGUUAAUUGUGUGGAUUAACUCUGAAACUAAAUGAACAAAGAAGUGAAUUCAGUGCACCUUUCGUGACGCUUCUGGAUGUCACUCCUAUGCUCUUAAUGUGCCCAUCCUUUCCAGCAGCACAAUCGGAACAGUACAUCCUGCAGGUGAGCUCUGUCUUUUGAAUUUGUGCAUCACAUUUAUUUAGCCUCAAAAAAAGCCCCUACUCUGAAGUGCCAUCCAUCGAGUGUAAAAUUAAACAACUUUAAUAGGAACUGGAAUAGAAAAUCAAUAAUAUAGCUGAAAAUUGGGAGAUGUUUAAAAAUAUAACUGAAGGCACUGUUUACUUGCAAGUUGGAACGAUUUAAGCUCAUGGUAUUCAAAAUGUGACUUGGAAAAGCCUCAAGGUGCCUUCUGUGGCAAAUCUAAAUAGUUUUCCCAACAACUUCCCAAAAAAGCCGCUUUCAGACAAGCUCAAUCAGGACUUGUCAUUGUUUCUGCAACAAUAGCGGGAAAAGCCUUGAGCUGCUGUUCCAGAACAAAUCUAAGUUAUCCGACGACUAUUUGGGGAAACCCCUUAAGAUGCAAUUUAUCCCAAAUCCAUUUUUCUUCCCAUUACAACUUUGAAAUCCGAGUAGUUUUUAACCACACUUUGGAAAAGCCUUAAAAUGCAAUCUACUCUGUAUCCCACAUUGUUCCAGUUAACUUUAGAGAAAUGUCUCGUGGCGCGCUCUGUUGCGGAUCCAAGUUGUUGAAGUGGCUAUUAGGAAAGUAGUAAUUACGAAUUGUUAAGCGAUCAUUUGUCAUGCAAGAAGAGAAAAAAAAUUAUAUUAACGUAUUUUAGGAUCAUGGUCUGGAGUAUAAUUAGGGUUGACUUGCACAUUUUUGCAAUUUCAGGGCUUGGUCUCUCACCCUGGAAAAUUCAUUUACGUUUUUACACUGUAAAUAAUCACCUUGUAGUUAUAUGUGCAGCGUGUGUUUGAAUAUGAUUUCAACUGCUGUCCAUCACCGAGAUAAGAGCAGUGCAAACGUAAACGCCCCACGCUCCAUCGCAUUCCACUCUUGCUCUUUCGUCAUUGUUGCCACUCUCAACACUCUUGUUUGGUUUUCACAUGGUUACCUUGACUGCCGCUGUAAAUCAUCCUUGUUCUGCUCUGCGAAAUUUAUGAUGAAGCCAUCUCAGCCUCCAAUAAAUUAAGCACCUGUCGCCAGCUACACUGAGCACUAUGACAUUUUCGUGGACAUGUCCUUCAUGUUAGACCGACAAAAUAAGUCUAAAGAAGCCAUGCUCGAAAAGAUGGAGGAAGUCUGCUAUUUCUAUUUGAAACAUAGUGGCUAACUUGAAUGUGUUGCCACUAACUAAACACUAUUAAAAAAAUUCUGUUCCCAUCGCCGGUUUUCCUAAGAAAUUUGGUGGGCAUCCUAAUGAUGAGUCAACCCACAGAAAAUGAAGUUCUCAUGUUUGUGACAUUCAGGCGACAACGUUUGAUGACUCGCCACAUAACCAAGACCUCAUAGUCGGUUUCACUUAAUAACAUGAAAUUUGACAGCCUUGUCUAUCAAGAGUUGAGCCACAAAAAAGUCUAAACGAGUCAUGCCCAAAAAGAUACGGGACGUCCGCCAUUUCAGGGUCAGUUUGGCCUUUUCUUGGGGACGAACUCAUCCGAGGAUGUUUUGUUUGAUUGCUUCCAAACUUUAACCACAUAUACCCAGUCAUGCAUUUCUGACCUGGAAAGACUCAUAUACGCCUC